rnacentral:rRNA from 1 species
CUUUCAACAACGGAUCUCUUGGUUCCAGCAUCGAUGAAGAACGCAGCGAAAUGCGAUAAGUAAUGUGAAUUGCAGAAUUCAGUGAAUCAUCGAAUCUUUGAACGCACAUUGCGCCCCUCGGUAUUCCGGGGGGCAUGCCUGUUCGAGCGUCAUUACACCCCUCAAGCGUAGCUUGGUAU